UACGUAGGGUGCGAGCGUUGUCCGGAUUUACUGGGCGUAAAGAGCGUGUAGGCGGCCAUGUAGGUCUGGUGUGAAAACUCGAGGCUUAACCUCGAGAUGUCAUCGGAAACCAUUUGGCUAGAGUCCGGAAGAGGAGAGUGGAAUUCCUGGUGUAGCGGUGAAAUGCGCAGAUAUCAGGAGGAACACCGAUGGCGAAGGCAGGUCUCUGGGCAUUAACUGACGCUGAGGAGCGAAAGCAUGGGGAGCGAACAGG
rnacentral:rRNA from 1 species